AGGGGAGCUCUGCCGUAGUUGAGAAAUACGCUCUUGUUUGCCCCAACCUCAAGAGUGUAUCCCUCCACUGGCUCAUGUCAUAACCUGAGGAUGAAGAUCAUAGAAGUUAAUCUUACAUUAUAAACAGCUCGUGCCAGUCCAAAACUCUCGAUUCGUUUGUAUCGCUACGCUUGCUUUGUCUGUGUUUGUUGUAAAUGCUGGCUCCAAAAAUUAAUUAGUUUGUCAGGAAAUGUAUGUUUUCAUCGGCUGAGCAAAAGCUGGCUGGCAGUACCUGGCAAUAUUGUGUGUAAAAUAACAGGACAGGAAGCAGGCUUGAAGGUCUCACACUGCAAACACUGACCACUGAGGAAGUCGCUGUAUGAGGAACACGGAUAUGCCCACAUCUACAAACUGGGCAUCAGUUGGAUCAAGGCGUUCCUCAGGUGGAGCAUUGGCAAACAUUGGCCCUGCUGGGUCCAGACCUAGAGUCGACCAGAAUUGACACAGACUGAUCCACAAGUAAAGUAAGGCUGGAUUUUGGCAACCCAGUUCCUGUUCAUCUUGCUGUACGUCAUCUCAACAACACACAUCAACAUUUCAUGCUUCCAUUUCUCUUUGGCAUCAACCUGCACAAUAUCCUUCUGAUCAUCCUGCAGAUCCAUACACCAUAUGAUGUGUCCACCUCAUAUUUAAGCCACGCAACCUCUCAGGUUUCCAUGUAGAUUUCCGACUCUAGAGGUCAUCUGUGCUCUGUAAUUAGCCUGCACGCAAGUCACAAUUGGAUCAUGCUUCUAUAAAAAAGCAGAUCAUCCCACCUCUCCUUCCACAUGUUUCCCUGCCCCCUCCUCUUCCCCCGGUAAAAAGAUCUUCUGAGAUGAUUACAGGUGUCAGUCACAUGAGCUACAUGGGGGUUUGUUGUAUUUAACCCUCUUUCACACUGAUCUGUUAUGUCUGCCAUCUGCAAGCAUUACUCAUUACACACGUCACUGAGAUGACGUUGGUAAAUACAGGCUACAAAUGAAUCCUCAAGUCUUUGGAGCCUUUACUGUCCCAGAGAUAAAAUAAAUAAAUAAAUAAAUCAAGGUUAACCAAUUAUUUUCCUCAAAUUAUUCUUCUGACCUAAUCAAAAUCCAAAGUUUGUGUCUGUUUCACAACAAAGUGAACAUGCAGUUUUUGGAAACAUAAGAGGUAUCCAUUAUAGUAAUGUUUGGGUUCAAGCUGCGGUUAAAUUCUAUGCAUUUAUUCACAUUUUGAGUUUUGGGACUUUGAGACCUUCAACAUAAAUACUGUAAAAAAUGUUCUUUGAGAUAUUCAAUAGGUCAUUAGGUCUUUCGGACCCCAAACACAACAUGAAAGUUAAUGUUGUUGAAGCUCAUCACAUAGUUGACUAUAAUAAAUACAAAAUGUUGAAUCAAAAUUAAAUACAUCCCAAGUUACAAAUGUCCAUAUAGUCAUAGCUAAAUAUUUCAAAAUGAGAAGGAUUCAGCCAAAUCCCGAGAUAAUAAGAGUCAAAUGAGAUCAAAAGGUUAACCAAAUUGAAUCAGCAGUGCAAUCUGCUGGACAGAGUCCUGUCUCUUACCUUUACAAAGCAUAAAGAUGCUGAGCAAAAUCAGGGGACGCCACAGUGACAUCCUUACCAGAAGAUGAGACAGAGGUAGACACAAGGAAUAUCAAGAAAACUAAGAAACAACAUUGGCGUAUCUGUAGUAAAGGAAAGAGCCCAUAGAGGAAGGGUUGUGGGCGGAGCGAAGGAGAUCGAACGAGAUCACACAUGCUCACCCUGUGGUUAGUGGAGAGUGUGAUAAGUCAGCAGGCCAGCUUAGGACUUCCAGAAGAGUACAGAUCAUGAAAGAAGCAUCUGGUGAUGACUAAACGACUUUACAGAGACAGUUCAUCCAAAAAUGUAAAUUCUGUAUUUUAUUCACCUCAUGAUGUUCCAAACCUGUAUAACUUUCUUUCCUUUGUUAGAAUAAAGAAGAUAUUUUUGAAAACUUUGUUUGUU